rnacentral:ncRNA from 2 species
UAUAAUAACAUUCGUAAGAUUCGUAUAAUUCUAGUAAUUGGUCUAGAAGUUUCUACCAGACACCGUAAAUGUCUUGGCUAUGAGUUAUUUGCAAUUUAUU